CCAGUUUCUGACCUAGUGCUCUCUCUGUGUCCCACAGGGUGAUGAAGGGCCAGUGGGACCACCUGGCAAUCCAGGGGCAGAGGGUCCACGUGGCCGGAAGGGAUUUCCAGGCAAACCAGGUUCUGAGGGCUUAAAGGGUGAACCCGGGAAUCCAGGUCGAACGGGACAAGUGGGCGAUCAGGUAAAUCCAUUCAGUGUCUUUUGCUCCUUUCUCUGUCACUUCUGUCUGGGAAAUUUUGUCCUCAUGUGCUGAUCUUUUCUAGGAAUGUGUUUGGUUUUGUUUGCCCAAGACAGUUCUCAGGGUUAGCUGUCUCAGGAAUUCGAGAUGGAUGAAUCUGUCAAUUUUAUUUUCUCUUGCUUUCUCAAGCUUAGUUCCUCCUAAGCUUUGAGAACCUUU
rnacentral:lncRNA from 1 species